rnacentral:rRNA from 1 species
AACGUAGGACGCAAGCGUUAUCCGGAGUUACUGGGCGUAAAGGGCGUGUAGGCGGCUGUUCAAGUUCGUCGUGAAAGACCCCGGCUCAACCGGGGGUGGUCGAGGGAGACUGAACAGCUGGAGGACGGUAGAGGGACAGGGAAUUCCGGGUGUAGUGGUGAAAUGCGUAGAGAUCCGGAGGAACACCAGUGGCGAAGGCGCUGUCCUGGGCCGACCCUGACGCUGGGAUGCCACUGCAUGGUGAUCGAUCGGG